rnacentral:tRNA from 1 species
GCACUGGUAGUUCAGUGGUAGAAUUCUCGCCUUCCAUGCAGGAGACCUGGGUUUAAUUUCCAGCCAAUGCA